UACGGGGGGGGGUAAGCGUUGUUCGGAAUUACUGGGCGUAAAGGGCUCGUAGGCGGCCAACUAAGUCGGACGUGAAAUCCCUCAGCUUAACUGGGGAACUGCGUCCGAUACUGGAUGGCUUGGAUUCGGGAGAGGGAUGCGGAAUUCCAGGUGUAGCGGUGAAAUGCGUAGAUAUCUGGAGGAACACCGGUGGCGAAGGCGGCAUCCUGGACCGGUAUUGACGCUGAGGCGCGAAAGCCAGGGGAGCAAACGGG
rnacentral:rRNA from 1 species